CGCAGUGGGGGAGAUUUUGGGGUGUCCCUCAUCCUAAUACCCUCCACAAUACACCACCACUGCAUCUGUUGCUCCUAGCUGUUCACAAAGUUGAAAGUUGGAUCAGUGAAGUGCGAGCAUGUCUCCCCUUUCUGUCUUUCUUAGAUUUUGUCCUGUCCUCAUCACCUCUUCUCUCUCUCUCUUCUUUCUAAUACUUUUUAAUUGAAUCUUACACCAAAGACGGGUGCAACGGUGCAUUUUGGUUCCUUUUUCCCCACCCUUAGUUAACUUGCUUUUUAGAGUUAGCUGACGGCCCAUUCUUUGCAUUUAGUCAGCUUAAAGUAGAAGAAAAGAGCGGCAGGCCCCCAUCACGUGGACAGCAACUCUCUCAGACAGGUGUCAAUCCUCCGGCGAACUCGUCCAGCUGCCACAGUGGAACAUGAAACGGCCUCUCCAGCUGGAAGAACAAGAGCUAUGUGGGCUCCCUGAAGUGGCACAACACCGGGCCAUUGGAGGGCCGCAGCGUGUUUGGGCACAGAACAAUCUGUGUUAUUUCAGCACAGCUUGUUGGAUGGAGAGCCAUUUCACAGGCAUUAUGGAUUAAUCUUUGGCAGGAUCUCUCCAGGAUCAAACCAAAUUGGAUGUUUAACCUCACGUGUCCUCGAGCUGAGAGUCCUCCUCUGAUAAACCGGGAUAGAGAGGAUUGAAUGUGACCCACAUAUUUUUUCUCAAUGUAUUACCUGACUCCCUAUGAAGGGAUGGAAAUGUAGUUACUCUGUACAGUGAACAUCCGUCUUCAGGUGAGUCAUCUAAAGAAAUAAAGAUUCAUUGUGGUUAAAAAGAGCUUUCACUUAAUACAAAAAAGUUUUAAUGGGCUUUUUUUCCCAGCUAAUUCUAAGCUACUUGUAUUGUUUUGUUUUAAAUAAAAUUGUAAAUUGAAUAAACUGUAAGAGCCGUA